UGCGGUGCCCGGGGAGCCCCGCAGGGUCACGGCUGUGCCGCCCCGCUGUGCAUCCCCGGUUUGUGCUGUUCCUGCGCCCCUCGGACGGUGCUGAGCCCCUGCCCGCCGCGCCCUUCAUCCUCGGCGCCCCACCGCUGCGUCCCUGCCUCGCUCACCAGCAUCCGCCGCCUUUCAUUUCUACAAGGGGCUGUAAACGGUGACUUGGGGGUUUAUUGUUCCAGGUUCCACCAAGUGUCUAUGGCAAUAAUUUAGUUCCACGUUCUUUUACAACACCCGGGGCUGGUGCCGUUUGUUUGCUGCAGUGAUGCCGGGCCCUGGGCAGGAUGGCCUGGCAGGAGUGUUCAUCAGCACCUUAAGGGCUUGUUUCGAGGCAAAUGCUGUGUUCUCCUCAGCACUGAAAUUGGUGGGAGCCUCAUCUUGCUGUUGAACAGGUGCCUUUAUCCCUCUGAAUUUUGGCAGCAUCAUCCAUGUAUCCCAGAAAUAUUCUCAUGUCAAUGUAUCUACCAGUGAGUUGCAGUCUUUAAAGUUGCUUUCAGCUUUUAAAAUAGCUAAAGCUUUUUGUGAAGUUUGGUUUGCCUUCAUCAUCGUGCUUCCAGAGAUUCCUUCCAUGGGAAGGAGGAAAGGUUCUCUCCUGUCUGAAGAUGCCAUGAAGGUCACUUCUCUAUUUAUUCCUGGCCUGUAGGAGGUCCCAGUUAAACAUUCUUACUGGCACAAAAUGGAAUGUAUCCUUCUGAAAUGAAUGGCAGGCUGAUGCACCCGUUAGUUUUAGAAUUGAUAGACGUAGUAGGUCAUUUAACAUCAGUGCCUCGACUCACAUGUGAGGUGGACUGCUUGUAAGCUAUAGCCAUAUGGUAAAUUGUUGUGAAAUCAUUAUUUCUUGCAUUUUAGUCUCUUCCUACAUUUCACCUGGUAGUUCUUUCUGGAAUUUCAUUGCACACUACAGCCGCAGUUUGGUAGGAUUUUGUGCAGCUUGUAACAAUUACUGGUCUUUUGCUUCAGUUCAGAACUUUGUCUAAAAUUGAUGUUGGAUCACAUCAAAGAAAAACAACAAUUUGAAAGAAUUCUAAGGUACUAGCUGUGCUUAACCAGAGUGUACUCACUAUUUACAGUUUUGUGAGAAACUUGACUGCUUUUUUAUUGUUAACAGAAAAACUGAUAUUGGCUGAAGACAAGAAGGAGGAUUAUAUUUUGUGGAAGGUUCCACAGUACUUCAGAGAAGACAGAGCAGGAAGGAGAGGAGUGAAGGAGCAGAAUACGGAAUCCACCUGGAGACAAUGAAGCAGCAGACAUUGUCUGUCUGCCUCUUUUAUGUCUGUCUAAAAAAAGAGACUUGUUAUUUCAGUGAAACCAAAGAAUGAAAACUGAAAAGCAAAAACAAUACAGAACAGAAGACUUCUGCAAACACAAUUUGACACUUCCUAUUGAUUGAAGUAAUGGAGCAGCAAAUUCUACCAACUUGCAUAAAAGCACCUUUGGUCUGCAUUAAAAUCCCUGUAGAAGAUCCAGUGAUGUCAGUGCCGUGCUGUUCACCUGUGUGUUCUCACUCCAGAUGUCAGAAGCUGAAGCUGUGACUCCAGGAGCCGAGGCAGAGCCUGUUGCUCCUGCAGCAGGAGUGUCCCUUGGUGCUGUGCAGAUGGAAGUGUUCAACAAGCCUGCCUUCUCAGUACUGUGCAAGCUGCUGCAGAAUCUGUUUAAGCACUGCUGCUGUUUAUGAGAACACAGGUGUAGGGAGUGGAAAGUGCAGUCCUUGGGCACAUGAAACGUGACUUUGAGGGAAAAAAAUUCUGUCAGAUUCACAAGGAAAACAGACUUGAAAGUAAAGCAAAUAUUUUUUCACACUUGUUUAAGUUUUAUCACUCAGCUGUGCUAUUUCUAGUAGUUGUAGACAUAACAUUUUGCAGGAAGAAUUUUGACAGAUCUAUUCAGCUGGCAGCACUGAGUUUCCCUGUGCUGAUACCACAUCUUGCCAGCAGUGCUGUCCUGUGGUGAGAACUGUGCUCAGUCACCUACAAGACAACUGGCUGCCCUCAUGAUGCAUUUCCAUUUUCUGGAGCCAGAGAUAGGAUGUGCCCAACUAGACCAGGAGUUCAAACAACCCAACACGUCCAUUCUUGUUUGGUGAAAAUGUGGUUUGUGUUCUUGGAGCAAAGCAAUUACAGCCUCUGCAUGGUCACAGGUUCUGCUAAUUACUGGUAAGACUGUUGAGCAUCAAAAACCCCACAACAAACAAAGCAAA